rnacentral:rRNA from 1 species
AGAGUUUGAUCCCGGCUCAGAAUCAACGCUGGCGGCGCGCCUAACACAUGCAAGUCGAACGGGAAAGGGGAGCAAUCCCUGAGUAUAGUGGCGUACGGGUGAGUAACACGUGGUAAUCUACCUCUGGGUGUGGAAUAACCCUGGGAAACCGGGGCUAAUACCGCAUAAGCCCGAUGGGGGAAAGUCGCAAGACGCCGAGAGAGGAGCCCGCGGCCGAUUAGCUAGUUGGCAGGGUAAACGCCUACCAAGGCAGAGAUCGGUAGCCGGCCUGAGAGGGCACACGGCCACACUGGCACUGAAACACGGGCCAGACUCCUACGGGUGGCAGCAGUGGGGAAUCUUGCACAAUGGGGGAAACCCUGAUGCAGCGACGCCGCGUGAGCGAUGAAGCCCUUCGGGGCGUAAAGCUCUUUCGGCAGGGAAGAUUAUGACGGUACCUGCAGAAGCAGCUGCGGCUAACUACGUGCCAGCAGCCGCGGUAAUACGUAGGCAGCGAGCGUUGUUCGGAGUUACUGGGCGUAAAGGGUGUGUAGGCCGCUUCUUAAGUUUGGUGUGAAAUCUCCCGGCUCAACCGGGAGGGUGCGCCGAAUACUGAGAGGCUCGAGUGCGGGAGAGGAGAGUGGAAUUCCUGGUGUAGCGGUGAAAUGCGUAGAUAUCAGGAGGAACACCGGCGGUGUAGACGGCUCUCUGGACCGCGACUGACGCUGAGACACGAAAGCGUGGGUAGCAAACAGGAUUAGAUACCCUGGUAGUCCACGCCCUAAACGAUGCAUAUUUGGUGUGGGCAGUUCAUUCUGUCCGUGCCGGAGCUAACGCGUUAAAUAUGCCGCCUGGGGAGUACAGUCGCAAGGCUGAAACUCAAAGGAAUUGACGGGGGCCCGCACAAGCGGUGGAGCAUGUGGUUCAAUUCGACGCAACGCGAAGAACCUUACCUGGGCUCGAACGGCUGGUCAACGGAGGCGGAAACGUUUCUACCCCGCAAGGGGGUCCAGUCGAGGUGCUGCAUGGCUGUCGUCAGCUCGUGUCGUGAGAUGUUGGGUUAAGUCCCGCAACGAGCGCAACCCUUGUCCUGUGUUGCCAUGCCCGCAAGGGCGGAACUCGCAGGAGACCGCCAGCGAUAAGCUGGAGGAAGGUGGGGAUGACGUCAAGUCCUCAUGGCCUUAAUGUCCAGGGCUACACACGUGCUACAAUGGACGGUACAAAGCGCC